rnacentral:tRNA from 1 species
UCCCUGGUGGCCUAGUGAUUAAGGGCUCAGUGCUAUCACUGUUGUGGCUCAGGUUUGAUCCCUGGCCUGGGAA